GCCGCCGUAGCUCAGCUGGUAGAGCAACUGAUUUGUAAUCAGUCGGUCGGGGGUUCGAGUCCCUUCGGUGGCU
rnacentral:tRNA from 1 species